CAGUCGCAGUUUCUAAAACCCUAGCGAAGUCGGGCAAAAUCGCGGCCCCUCCCCGACUCCAGUCUCGCCGUUUCAACACCAAAUAUGUCGCACUUUGGAAGAUCUGGUCCUCCAGACAUCAGAGACACCUAUUCCCUUCUCGUCCUCAAUAUUACUUUCCGUACAACCGCUGACGAUCUCUACCCCCUUUUUGACAAGUACGGCAAGGUCGUCGAUGUCUUCAUCCCCAGAGACCGAAGGACUGGUGAAUCACGAGGCUUCGCUUUUGUUCGCUAUAAGUAUGCUGACGAGGCUCAGAAGGCAGUUGAUAAGCUUGAUGGAAGAGUGGUCGAUGGAAGAGAAAUUAUGGUUCAAUUCGCAAAAUACGGACCUAAUGCUGAGAAAAUUCAAAAGGGCAGGAUAGUGGAAACAUCCUCCAAGCCAAGAGGGAGGUCAAGAAGCCGCAGCCCUCGUCCUAGGCAUAGGGAUGAAUAUAGAGACAGGGACUACAGGAGAAGAAGUCGCAGCAGAAGUAGGGAAAGAUAUGAUCGUGACAAGUACCGUGAAAGGGAUAGCCGUGAAAGGGAUAGGGAUUAUCGUCGCCGGAGUAGGAGCCGUAGUGCAAGUCCUGAUCGGCAUAAAGAUCGCAGGAGAGGAAGAGAUGAUGAUGAGAGAAGAACUCGAAGCAGAUCAGUUGAUAGUGCAUCACCUGCUCGGCAUGGCUCCAGUCCUCGUAGAAGUCCAUCUCCGCACAGGAGGUCUUCUCGAGAUGAGCGGCAUGAUGAACAGAAUAGUCAUGAGCAAUCACCUGCACAGAAAGAUGUUUCACCACGAGAUCGUCCUAUUGAUUCUCGAAGCCCAUCUCACAAAUCUGACGCUGAUGAAUGAUGGGGUAGCCACUUAUCGCAGGGAUCUACAGGUGGCCUUAUUUUGACUUCUGUCAUCAGUCGUCUGGAUGAAGUCGCUAAAUCAUGAAUGUUCUGGUCUACAUCUUGGAUUAAUGACUUUGUUGCAUGGACUUUUUUGGAAGUUCCGGUUACAAACUUAAAACAAAUUCUUAUUAUAGCUGUGUAGCCUUUGGUCGCGAAGGUUGAAUGCUGCUUAGAGAUGGUGUACGUACCAUUUGAGGCAUUAUGCCAUGUUGUUGUGAAAUCUGGGUUGCAUUCUUCGGUGUUGUACCAAUCCUUGGUAUUGGAAUUGGUUCUUUCAAGAUCAUUCAGCAGGCGCGGCUGCUUGCUUUUGUGCUGGACUGUCCGACAGCGUUGAAGUCAGUCUUACGCGACUGGGACCUGCUCGGCCCACAUUUUCUUUUGCUGAUUGCGUGAUGCUUGCCUAAAGAUGGCCUUGUGGAAGUCUGGUCCGGCUAGAGUACACCGGAUACUCUAUAAUUGCGUUUCUAGUCUGACGCGUUGCAGCAUGCAUUCCUUGACCCUUUUUCUAUUUUUAUUUUUAGGAUUUGCUUGUUUUUACUCUUGGUUUUGGUAAAUUGAGAAAUUCUAAUGAGCAUAGUUGAAUAGGCUAUGAUAACCAAAUUUAUUCAAAAUUUUAGAGGUAGGCCUAUUUCAUGCGGCAGCAGAGCCUAUCGGGGUAUCGACUGUUACUCUAAUUUCUUAAUUAGUUGAGAUAAAUUUUUGGACUCA